GACGGAGGAUGCAAGCGUUAUCCGGAAUCACUGGGCGUAAAGGGUGCGUAGGCGGGUCUUUAAGUCAGGGGUGAAAUCCUGGAGCUCAACUCCAGAACUGCCUUUGAUACUGAAGAUCUUGAGUUCGGGAGAGGUGAGUGGAACUGCGAGUGUAGAGGUGAAAUUCGUAGAUAUUCGCAAGAACACCAGUGGCGAAGGCGGCUCACUGGCCCGAUACUGACGCUGAGGCACGAAAGCGUGGGGAGCAAACAGG
rnacentral:rRNA from 1 species